CAGCCGCCACGGUAAUACGUAGGGUGCAAGCGUUAAUCGGAAUUACUGGGCGUAAAGCGUGCGCAGGCGGUUUUGUAAGUCUGUCGUGAAAUCCCCGGGCUCAACCUGGGAAUGGCGAUGGAGACUGCAAGGCUGGAAUCUGGCAGAGGGGGGUAGAAUUCCACGUGUAGCAGUGAAAUGCGUAGAUAUGUGGAGGAACACCGAUGGCGAAGGCAGCCCCCUGGGCUAAGAUUGACGCUCAUGCACGAAAGCGUGGGGAGCAAACAGGAUUAGAUACCCGCGUAGUCCCUGUCUCUUAUAC
rnacentral:rRNA from 1 species